GAAAAUAAAACACUUAGAGAGACGGGCUCUUAGAGACCAAUGGAGUUAGUGACCUUUUAGUCCCACUCCAUUUUAUAGAUGAGGAAACUAAGGCUGAGAGAGAGCACUAGAAUGGACAUUCAAAAGACUUGGGUUCAAGUUUCAGCAAUGCUGCCAUUUCCUAAAUGCAUGACCUUGGAUGUUUGUAUACAUGCCUUUCUCCCUGUUACACUGUAUGUAAACUCCUUGAGAGCAACUGAGUCUGUGUUAUAUGUCUUUAUACCUCCAAGC